UACGAAGGGGGCUAGCGUUGCUCGGAAUCACUGGGCGUAAAGCGCACGUAGGCGGACUCUUAAGUCAGGGGUGAAAUCCUGGAGCUCAACUCCAGAACUGCCUUUGAUACUGGCGACCUUGAGUCCGGGAGAGGUGAGUGGAACUGCGAGUGUAGAGGUGAAAUUCGUAGAUAUUCGCAAGAACACCAGUGGCGAAGGCGGCUCACUGGCCCGGUACUGACGCUGAGGUGCGAAAGCGUGGGGAGCGAACAGG
rnacentral:rRNA from 1 species